UGCUCAGCAAGAGGCCUGGGGGUUUACAGGGUCAGAGCUGCUUACCUGCUGAUCCAGAUUAAAAGCUGGGACUAGAGCCAAAAUGAACUGUGUUGAUGACAUGACACAGCCAAGACAGAGUGAGAACAUCCCAGAGCCACCGCACACAAGCAACAAGCUCUGCUCUAAAGGGAAGGCAAGCGAAGGCCACAGAACGUGAAGGUAGCGUGUUGGUGUGCUCGGAGCCCACCAGUCAAAGGAAGGAGAGUUCCAAGUUCCUUACAUGCCAAGAGAUGUGGGGAGCAGGGCACUUGAGUGAUGGAGACGCUGCAUCAGAGAGCCAUGUCUGCUUCCCUUUGCUACCUGCCUCCCCCAUCAGAUCCUACAUCUUAGGAGCUGUGUCCCCUCUCCACCCAUCCUGGGACUGUGGCUGCUUUUACUUGAUUCUUCCUAACACACCAGCAGCCUUCUGAGGUUUCCAGCCGAGCUGUGGCUCAGUUUCUCUUACUGCUUGGUUUACAGUCAGUACCUGUGAGCUUUGUGCCUGCCUCUGCCCCAUCUUGUUCCUUCCACUCUAACUCCUGAAGCCCACUAGCAUCCUUGCCACCAAAACUGCCUCCCACAAGUAAUUCUUGGGAUCCAGCUCCCCCCUCCAAACUUCUCUAGCACUGUGAUAUUUCCCAGGAAGUCGCACAAGUCUGAAAAAAGCAGUUUCAAAAGACCAGCACCCUGAGCUAGGCUAUUAUCCUGGGGUUCUACCACUCUACAGUUGGGUUUCUUGCAUUUUUUUUUGUCCUGACCCUGCAUUUUCUUCAAAUCUUGACCCUACAGAGGAGUUCUAAUGAAACAGUGGAUUGCUUUCUGCCCCACUAGAGAGAGACAAUUGGAUAUAAGGUCCAUUAAAUUCAGAGAACCGAAGACUUACCCUGUGUCUGUUUCUUGAUAAAUCUGCCUCUCCCAUAUACAUUUUUAAUGACAAUGUAGUCUCAAACACAGUGUUAUUCAAUGCUAAAUCAAAGCUGACUCAUGGAGAAAUGCUGUUUGAUUCUAUUUAGUCCACAUUUCCAUCCCACUUUAGGGUGUCUGCCUGUGCACAUGGGGGUUGUAUAAUGCUCUCUGAAGCACAGAGCCCUCCGUGACCCCCAGAGCCCUCUGCUGAUCACUGGUGUUUGUUGUAGGAGGAAGGCAAACAGGAGCAUAGAAGUCUGAUUGAACAGCAGCCGCUUCAAAAAUGUCUCUGGGCUUUUGUUCCUGGGCUGCAUAGCAGUAGGGGGCUCCCGUCCUCAGAAAGCAUACUUAUGCAAGUGUUAAGAACUGGCUGGGAUGAGAGGCUCAGCUUAAGAGACCUUCAUCAUUAGCUGCUAGUGGUAGAGAUUAGUGAUCCUACUGCAGGAUUACAGAGGGAAGGGGUGCCAGUGUUGGCUAAUUGUUCGUUAAUGCUUGUAAAAUAAGCCAGCUGGAGGAACACAGACCAUUGUCCAUUCUCUCAGAUUGAAGCUAAAUUGGAUAGCUCCUCAACAGAGCAUUGAUGCCAGAAGAGAAAAUAAACAUGUACACCACUUCCCUGAGACUCACUCUUGAUUGAAAAUAUUUAAUUAAAAACUGUUCUCCUAAUAAACAAUG